GAACCUGAAUUGGGAUACAGCCUAAGGCUGUUCCAAUUCUCAGCACCGCUCCUCUCUUUCCCUGAGUCCUUAGCAAAUCUCCUUCCCACGAUUUCAUCGAGGCCAAGAAAAAGAGUUUAGGAAAAGGAGAUAGGCACUAAUUUUGAAACAACACCCCACGUGGUUACGUUGCGCAGCUGAGUCACGUGACCGCACAUUAACAAAUCACCACAGAGCCAGGAAAAGGGGGCGGACAAAGUGAGUGUGUGCAGGAGAGGAGUCGAGCAGAGAGAGCUGCUUUUUCAUGAAACGGGAGUAAAGUAGUGAACUUACAGGAACAUAUACCACUACCAACGUUUGGAUCGAUAUCUGCAUCGAUCUGCACACCCUUGUCUCCUGGAUCCUAGCUGAGAUCAGCGUGAACCACGUGGGUCUCUGCGCCCUGAUCUGUUUCUUAAGACUUCCAGCUUCAUCACGGAGUUUAUCUCGGUUUGUGGGCUCAUCUAAAGGACCUGCCCUUCCUGUCUGAAGCAGAGACCAGUGAGACCUAUUCCAGACUGUUUGAAAGUGUGGUGACUGUGAUAAAGAAAGAAAAAAUCAGCAAGAGAAUAAGGAGACUGACGAACAGGUGGAGGAAGAGAAUGCCACAGAGGAGGCUCAUCACCCACAUAUCAAAGACCAGGGGUGUCCAAAGUUUUUUAACUGAGGGCCACAUAUAUAAAAAUAUAGGAGGGGCUGGGCCACUUACUAGAAAUUAGGUAUAUAGCCUUAACUUUAGUGUAUUAAAGUU